GGGGGGGGGGGGGGGGGGGGGGGGGGGGUGGGGGGGGGGCGGGGGCACAGGAGGGGGUUGGUCGUCCGGGUGGCGGGUUGCGGCCGGGUGCGGAAUACAUCGGAAUCUGGUUUUUCGUGGGGGGUCACGUAGGGAAACUUACGCUACUGCCGCGUACGACCUACGGGUGCAAGCAGUGAGUCUUCGGCCCUUGCGCGAUUUACUGAUGCGCUGUCGGCUUGUCGAGGUGUGGGGGUAAAGUCCCACCCAGGCACCGAUCCGUAGCUGUUCUGGUAGGAUGAUCAGCCAAACUGGAACUGAGACACGGUCCAGACUCCUACGGGAGGCAGCAGUGGGGAAUAUUGGACAAAGGGCGCAAGCCUGAUCCAGCCAUACCGCGUGGGUGAAGAAGGCCUUCGGGUUGUAAAGCCCUUUUGUUGGGAAAGAAAAGCAGCAGGUUAAUACCCCGCUGUUCUGACGGUACCCAAAGAAUAAGCACCGGCUAACUUCGUG
rnacentral:rRNA from 1 species